GUGGCCACUGUGUUCUCCCUGAGCCCUGUCCCUUGGCAGUGAGAGAAGCUGUCCCUGGUGACCUAUGCAGGUGCCAGUGACAUCUCCCUGCUGGUGCCAUUGAGUGUCUGGAAUUCUGGAGUGACUACGGACAUAGCUGAUGAACUUCCAGGAACACUUAGGAAGUGGGUAGAAUGAAGACAGCAGCUAGAGACCUGGGUGUCAGCAUCCAGACCUUUCUGCAUCACUGAGUGACUUCAAGAAGGGCUGUCCUCUCCUCUGGCCCCCACCAGACCAGCAUCCUCCCGUCCCCAACAUGAUUCCUGAUCCUGGUGAGCCACCAGAGGAAAGGCAGGACUCUCCACGUCUGGAAGGCCUGGAAGUCCAUCCUGAAGUCUGCCUGCCCAAGGUUUGGGCUACAAUGCUGCUUCUGACCUGGGGCCAGCGAGUGCUUUACUGCCCACCCUGCCCUCACCCUCUCUCCCUGUGGAUGGCCAGCCUACGUCCAGCACCACGGACAGCUCCCUGGCGGCCACAAGCAGGGAGCUGGAUGGGAAGUGGAGUAACCAGGAAACAUAUUGGCACUCAUGUGGGAUGUCAGCACUUGCAAGUAGUGGUAGAGACCCAGCCACCUUAAGCCAUCCCUUGCCACCUCCCUGGUUACACAGCGGCAGAAAGCUGAUACCUGAAUGCCACCGGCUGCUAUUGCUGCACUCCUGGGAGAUGCAGACACCCUGGAUGGUAUCCCAACCACUAUGCCACAUGCCUGCCAU